CUUCAUUGAGUUAGUCAGUAGUGGAGCUGAGAUUCAGUCAAGUCUUUCUCCAGAGCUGGGCUCCUGGCACUGGCUUCUGUGAGAUGUCCAAAAGCCCAAGGGAGUUAAAGAAUAAGGGGAGACAUCCAAUCAAGUACUCGCAGAAACUAAAGUAUGAGCUUGUUACCUGGAGUUGGGAGCAGAGAAUAAGGAAGGAAAGAAACAAAUGCAAUAAACAUCCCUAUUCAAUGACAGGCUUCACAGACCACACGAGCAGGACAGGAAGUAAGGCAAGGUGCCUGGACCAUUCUUCAGAGAUGCUCAGCACUUUGGUUCUACUGGAAGACUGGGCUUCCCAGAGGGCCUCCUAGCUUUUCUAAUUCGGACAAACUCGCCUUCACUCCACCACUCGGUAGAGGUUUGGGUAGAGGGGUUCCUGGUACAAAAGCAUUCUUUUUCAUGGAUGCACAGUCCUGCUCACAUAGCUCGUUUUGUGCUCACAAUCACACAUCUUAACCUGGAAGUUUAUCCCGCACUUUUUCUGCCAGUUUCUCAUUUGAGGGCAACGGAUAUUCAGACCUCCCUCUCCGAAAUGGGAGUCCCUUAAAAGGGGUUGGUUGGGGAAUCAGAGGAGUCACACUGAACAUCAAGCCACCAUGCUCCCGCCAUUCAGACCUGCGUACCAGAAGCGAGGUGCGCUCUUGGCCACUGCCUUCUACAGAAAGCCGCUCAAGGCCACACUCCAGCCUCACUUUCGCGUUUUGGGCAGGAGCACAUCUGAACCGGCCUCGGGGGCGGCAGGACCUCCUGCCGCGGCUUCGGCGCUGACUUCCGCUUCCCUGCCCGGGCCAAGACGCCCCUGCUGUUCCCCGGGCUUCCCCCGUACACGAGAAACAGGAGCUGGCGCUCCCCUCGACGAAAUUGGGAGCCGUGACACUUAACGGCCCUGGCCACGCCGGCCGCCUGUGUCCGGGCGAUUCUCGACCCGGAAUCUGGAAAACCCUGAGCCAGUGACACACGCCAAACGGGUUAAAGGUGCCCAGAGGAGUUUGGAGGAGGCUCUUUCGGCAAAUCUAGCUUUUCCCACGAGUGGCUCCUCCCUUAGGGCCGGGCAAGUGAGAGGCAGUUUGGAACCCCUUAGAGAAAAUGUUUGGACACGCUCGGCCCGAAGGCAAGUGAAGAGUGGGGAAGAUUUUAGGUGAAGGAGCAAA
ensembl:lncRNA